GGAGCAACGUGGUGAAAGUGGUCCAGUGUGUUUUCCAUGACACAGUUGGAUUUCUGGAGUGUGAAUUAAACCAACGAGCAGUGAGUGCAGUGAGAGCUGAGUUGCAAAACUUCAAGACAAACACUGUAGUGGCCGGACAUGUAGGAGGUCUUGAAGAUCCAUGUAUGCAGAAGUCAAAGAAAUCCAAAAACAAACUAUUUUCCAUUUCCCGUCUCAAUUCAAAACCACCUCAAGUUAAAGUCCACAUAGCGGUCAGUGGCCCCACCCUGAACUCGCACCAGACAUUCAUGAAAAAGCUGGACAUGUCUCUGGAGGAGUGCAGCCUGAAGAACUGCAGUGUGA